GCUUUCCUGUGGCUCUGUUGGUAGAGUAUUGCGCCAACAACUGAAAGGUUGUGUGUUCAAAUCCCAUGAAAAACA